AUGAAGAACAGCGAGGGGCGCCGCGUGUGGUGGGGCGUCCCCGGCCGCACGCUCGAGGGCGUGCUGGCGCACCUUGAGGGAGGCAACGACCCGCCGUUGGCAUACCCUCCCCCGGCGGCCGGGCCCAUCGCCGACGCGCCAGGCAAUGGAUGCCCAGGAGGUUUGUCACUUCCUUGUCUUACUCCUCAAACUCCUCGUCGCGAUCUUCUUCCCACUCCUCUAGCUCUCCGGCGCUGCUCGGCGUCAAGGCCGAGCCCGCGACGGAGACGCCGCUCGGCCGGCGCACUCGCAGCGCCGGCAUCAUCAUCAACGAGGGCGGCCAGCGCGCCUCCUCGUCGGCUCCUCCGCGCUUUGUCAAGCCAAAGACGGAGCCGGGGCUCGCGCCGGUGA
rnacentral:rRNA from 1 species